CAUGCAACUUUGUGGAGAAACGUCUCCGGCAGCUCUUAUUUAUUUCUAAACAGAUUAAUCAGUUUCUCUAGGGGAGCCAAGAAAGUAAUCAAGGCAGGCUUACAGGUCUUGUAUUAGAAUAUGAUUCUCCUACUAAAUUGCUAGAUAUCAUGGUCUCAUCAUUUGCAAAGCUUGUUCAGGAGCAUGCUCGAAGAUGUAAUUCUAAAUUUCUGAAAGGCACUCUCAUGCUAAAAAUAUCUUCUUACAAUAUUGGGAAGAGCAUAUUGGUCUUCCAUACCCUCCACAUUGGUUUGUUGCAAAGGCUUCUUCAUUAAGCCUCCAUCAGACAACAUUCUUUAUAAAGCUUCGGAGAAAAAUGAAUUAGCUUCCCACCUGCAUUCAUUAUGUAAGCAAGCUAAUAUUUCUCGUUCUACAAAUGCACUAGUGAAGAAGACACCAGACAUAACCCUGCCACCAAUAGCCCAGUGGAAUGAUGCCAAACUGAAAUAUGAUCGCCGUCCAAAUGAAUCACCCUUGUCAGUAGCUCGACAAGGAGAAUUGCUAUUUUUUCGCGAAUCAAUGGUGAAAGGAGGAGGUUUCCUACUUGUCCCUGAUCUAAGGGACCCAAUGUCAUAUAAAUCAUUUUUGCCAAGAUCUCUAGCGUCAAAAAUCCCAUUCUCAUUUGCCAAGAUCAAGGAAUUGAAGAAGCUUUUCGGUGUUGUAGAUGAAUCAAACAUGAAUGAGCAUAUACAAGACACCCUCAAAUUAUGUGAGAAGGGCCCCAUUCAAGGUUAGCAAUGCACCUGUGCAACUUCUGCUAAGGAUCUCAUUGACUUUAUUGUUGAGAAAUUAGGGCACCAUGUAUGCAUAUGGAGUACUGAGAAUUUUAAAGGAUCUUAUGAGAAUGUCACAAUUGGAGCUGUGAAACUCAUAUAUGGAAACCUCUCUAAACCACCAGCCUUUUGUCAUAGUCGGUCAUUCCCAUUUCAAGUUUAUUAUUGCCAUAUUUUAGAGAAAGUAAAAGUAUAUGCAGCUCAUCUAUAUGCUCAGAAGAAAGUGAAUCAUGCGAUCAUGGUAUGCCACUAUGAUAUCUCAACUUGGAAUCCAAACCAUUUUGCUUUUAAACUUUUGGGUUUUGGACCAGGUCUAAUUGAAGUAUGUCAUUGGAUAAAUGAGAAUGAAAUGGUCUGGACAGAGUACUCUUGAUUGAGCAACAUUUGAAGAAUUGAUUGUUUUUGAAUUCUCUUAUUUGUAUUUUAUGUUACUGCUUUUGCUAAUUAAAUUAAGGAUAAAU